rnacentral:ncRNA from 2 species
UGGUGGGGUAGAGGCGCGAUAUUUAACAGUCUUCGGUGGAGCUUGAGCAGGCGAUGAGCCCGGGGAGAAGGAAAUGUCGCCGAAGCGGUAUACAGGCUCACUGUAUGCUGCUGGGCCUGCAGUUAAUAGCUGCAGGACUGUCUUGGUAGAUGACCCGAUCUAUCAAGUUGCGCUAUCUCGUCG